AUUGAACGCUGGCGGCAUGCCUUACACAUGCAAGUCGAACGGCAGCACGGGUGCUUGCACCUGGUGGCGAGUGGCGAACGGGUGAGUAAUACAUCGGAACAUGUCCUGUAGUGGGGGAUAGCCCGGCGAAAGCCGGAUUAAUACCGCAUACGAUCCACGGAUGAAAGCGGGGGACCUUCGGGCCUCGCGCUAUAGGGUUGGCCGAUGGCUGAUUAGCUAGUUGGUGGGGUAAAGGCCUACCAAGGCGACGAUCAGUAGCUGGUCUGAGAGGACGACCAGCCACACUGGGACUGAGACACGGCCCAGACUCCUACGGGAGGCAGCAGUGGGGAAUUUUGGACAAUGGGAGAAAGCCUGAUCCAGCAAUGCCGCGUGUGUGAAGAAGGCCUUCGGGUUGUAAAGCACUUUUGUCCGGAAAGAAAUCCUUGGCUCUAAUACAGUCGGGGGAUGACGGUACCGGAAGAAUAAGCACCGGCUAACUACGUG
rnacentral:rRNA from 1 species